rnacentral:rRNA from 1 species
AUUGAACGCUGGCGGCAUGCCUAACACAUGCAAGUCGAGCGGCUGUAGGGAGCUUGCUCCUGGAUUCAGCGGCGUACGGGUGAGUAAUGCAUCGGAAUCUGCCUGGUAGUGGGGGAUAGCGCGUGGAAACGGGGCUUAAUACCGCAUACGGCCUGAGGGGGAAAGCGGGGGAUCUUAGGGCCUCACGCUAUUUGAUGAGCCUAUGUCGGAUUAGCUAGUUGGUGGGGUAAAGGCUUACCAAGGCGACGAUCCGUAACUGGUCUGAGAGGAUGAUCAGUCAAACUGGAACUGAGACACGUUCCAGACUCCUACGGGAGGCAGCAGUGGGGAAUGUUGGACAAUGGGCGAAAGCCUGAUACAGCCAUGCCGCGUGUGUGAAGAAGGUCUUCGGAUUGUGAAGCACUUUUAUUGGGGAGGAAGGUCACUAGGCUAAUGCCUCGCUGGCUUGACGGUACCAGAAUAAUAAGCACCGGCUAACUACGUG